rnacentral:rRNA from 1 species
AUUGAACGCUGGCGGCAUGCUUUACACAUGCAAGUCGAACGGUAACAGGCCGCAAGGUGCUGACGAGUGGCGAACGGGUGAGUAAUGCAUCGGAACGUGCCCAGUCGUGGGGGAUAACGCAGCGAAAGCUGCGCUAAUACCGCAUACGAUCUAUGGAUGAAAGCGGGGGACCGUAAGGCCUCGCGCGAUUGGAGCGGCCGAUGUCAGAUUAGGUAGUUGGUGGGGUAAAGGCGCACCAAGCCGACGAUCUGUAGCUGGUCUGAGAGGACGACCAGCCACACUGGGACUGAGACACGGCCCAGACUCCCACGGGAGGCAGCAGUGGGGAAUUUUGGACAAUGGGCGCAAGCCUGAUCCAGCAAUGCCGCGUGCAGGAAGAAGGCCUUCGGGUUGUAAACUGCUUUUGUACGGAACGAAACGGCUCUGGUUAAUACCUGGGGCUAAUGACGGUACCGUAAGAAUAAGCACCGGCUAACUACGUGCCAGCCGCCGCCGUAAAAC